CGCGCCGCCCGCCUGCCGCGCCGCCCCGGCCGCCGCCCGCCUGCCAAAGGUGUCUUGCACGAAGAGAAGCGGAAGGCUAGCUGCAGGGCAAGGAGUAGCCAGUAGAGCAAGACGAAGAGAGAAGCAGCAGCGGGCGCAUGCGGAGGCUGCGCGCCGCUCGGCCCGUCGUCCCCGUCGCCGGUGCUUCCGAUUCGCGGGGGUUUCUUCCAUGAUUCGGGAAGCAAGGCCAUGUCUCCCCUGCUCCUCGGAUUCCUCGGCUUACUCCUCGUCGCAGGUGAGGUGGUGGUGAUAGCCUUGAAGGUGAGGUGGUGGUGAUAGCCGGAGCGCAGGGCGGAGCCGGUAGCGCCGGCGACGACAGGGAGGUGCUUGACCGGAGCGUCGCCGGCGCACAGGAGGCUCGACUCGCGCACCAAUUUGCUAGAUGAUUCACCUCGCGAUUUGGCAGCUCUCAGCAGGCCAGACUAGCGAUCGCUCGAAUCCAUUUUAAUCCAUGUGCAAACAAAAUCUCUCUGAAUCUACAUUCUACAAUUUGACCCAAACUCAUUCAGUUGUGAAGUUCAUUCAGUUCGGUAAUGGCAUUUUAGGCCGUUGAAGCUUGUUAUUCUGAAGCUCAUUCAGUUCUGAAGUUCGGCAGUGGCAUUCUAGGCCGAGCUCAUUCUUUGUUUA